AAUCUGGUCACAACCUAUGAUGGAAUCAGCUUCAGACAGAUCACACACAGACAUGAGUGUACCCACUCAACUCCUGGCAUUGCUGUUGUUGUGGCUGACAGGUGCCAAAUGUGACAUCCAGAUGAUUCAGUCUCCAUCCUCCCUGUCUGCAUCUCUGGGAGAAAGUGUCACCAUCACAUGCCAAGCAAGUGGGAACAUUUACAAUUAUUUAGCAUGGUAUCAGCAAAAACCAGGGAAAUCUCCUCAGCUCCUGAUCUAUUAUACAAGUAGCUUGGCAGAUGGUGUGCCAUCAAGGUUCAGUGGCAGUGGAACUGGCACACAGUAUUCUUUCAAAAUCAACAACCUGCAGCCUGAAGAUGUUGCAAGUUAUUACUGUCAACAACAUUAUAAAACUCCUACACAGUGAUUCAUGUUAUGACAA